rnacentral:rRNA from 1 species
GAUGAACGCUGGCGGCGUGCCUAAUACAUGCAAGUCGAGCGAACGGACGAGAAGCUUGCUUCUCUGAUGUUAGCGGCGGACGGGUGAGUAACACGUGGAUAACCUACCUAUAAGACUGGGAUAACUUCGGGAAACCGGAGCUAAUACCGGAUAAUAUUUUGAACCGCAUGGUUCAAAAGUGAAAGACGGUCUUGCUGUCACUUAUAGAUGGAUCCGCGCUGCAUUAGCUAGUUGGUAAGGUAACGGCUCACCAAGGCAACGAUGCAUAGCCGACCUGAGAGGGUGAUCGGCCACACUGGAACUGAGACACGGUCCAGACUCCUACGGGAGGCAGCAGUAGGGAAUCUUCCGCAAUGGGCGAAAGCCUGACGGAGCAACGCCGCGUGAGUGAUGAAGGUCUUCGGAUCGUAAAACUCUGUUAUUAGGGAAGAACAUAUGUGUAAGUAACUGUGCACAUCUUGACGGUACCUAAUCAGAAAGCCACGGCUAACUACGUGCCAGCAGCCGCGGUAAUACGUAGGUGGCAAGCGUUAUCCGGAAUUAUUGGGCGUAAAGCGCGCGUAGGCGGUUUUUUAAGUCUGAUGUGAAAGCCCACGGCUCAACCGUGGAGGGUCAUUGGAAACUGGAAAACUUGAGUGCAGAAGAGGAAAGUGGAAUUCCAUGUGUAGCGGUGAAAUGCGCAGAGAUAUGGAGGAACACCAGUGGCGAAGGCGACUUUCUGGUCUGUAACUGACGCUGAUGUGCGAAAGCGUGGGGAUCAAACAGG